AUUGAACGCUGGCGGCAUGCUUUACACAUGCAAGUCGAACGGCAGCGCGGGGCAACCUGGCGGCGAGUGGCGAACGGGUGAGUAAUAUAUCGGAACGUACCCAAGAGUGGGGGAUAACGUAGCGAAAGUUACGCUAAUACCGCAUACGAUCUAAGGAUGAAAGCAGGGGACCGCAAGGCCUUGUGCUCCUGGAGCGGCCGAUAGCUGAUUAGCUAGUUGGUAGGGUAAAGGCCUACCAAGGCUACGAUCAGUAGCUGGUCUGAGAGGACGACCAGCCACACUGGAACUGAGACACGGUCCAGACUCCUACGGGAGGCAGCAGUGGGGAAUUUUGGACAAUGGGCGCAAGCCUGAUCCAGCAAUGCCGCGUGAGUGAAGAAGGCCUUCGGGUUGUAAAGCUCUUUUGUCAGGGAAGAAACGGUGGGGGCUAAUAUCUCCCGCUAAUGACGGUACCUGAAGAAUAAGCACCGGCUAACUACGUGCCAGCCGCCGCCGUAAUAC
rnacentral:rRNA from 1 species